rnacentral:lncRNA from 1 species
AUUCUGCUUUGUGUGACUCUUCUUGUUGCCUCCAGAAAAACACCUGAUGAAAGCCACUCUGAGAAGGAAGGGUUUAUUCUGGCCUAUAGUCUGAGGGUGCAGUUUGUCAUGGUGGCUGGAGCUUGAAGCUGCUGGUCACUGUAUCUGCAGUCAGGAAGAAGAGAGAAGAUUCGGGGACACCUUGCUUUCUUUUGUGUGUAGCUGUGGACGCCAUCACAUGGGACCACACUACCUGAAGGUAACCACAGCCACUCUGAGUUCACUUGUGCAACGGCUGUGGCAUGUUGAGAUGACAGCAUUUUGCGGCCCCCUUGCCCAUUCUCUGGCCCUUACAGUCUCUGGUCCCCCUUUUUGCUAUGUUCCCCGAGCCUUGAGGUGGUCGAUGUCAAUUUCUAGAAUGUAGGAAGACAAGAGAGAAGACUGCUGCAUGGGAGAACCCCAGAAAUCUUUUGGGGUUCUUGCCAGGAUUGUGUACUUGAGUGGUGACCAAUAUGUAUGGUUAAGGAAACUACCUGAGGCCAGGAAGAUCCAAACAAAGGAUGGAAGAGGACAAUAGCUGCUGUACACACAGUACCUGUUCCUACUUGCUGGACCUGAGAAACCCAGGAUACUCAGAACACUGAGUCGGAUACUCGGAAAAGCUGUCGUUGCUAGUAGAGUGAGCACUGCUUUGGCCCUAACAAAUAUUCAAAACAAGAUCCCCAGA